UGCAACGGUAUGUCACCCACUUUUAAGGUCCUGAAGCCUUGAGCUACCUUAAACUUUAAUGAGGUUAUGGAUGUGGAUAUGGAGACACAUAUAGGAGUGGACCUCCACUCUGGGCCUACAGGUCAUCAGUGCUGAACUGGCUGCAGAAUACAGACUAUGGUGCCUGGAGACUCACUUUUCCAACAUUUUGUAAUUCACAAGAUGAGAAAACUGAGGCCUAAAGCGACAUAACCAAUGUCAUACGCAUGGCAAAGUUUUUAUUCAAAUCCAGGGUACUCUGGCUCCAGAUUUAACACCUUCUGCUGAAUCCAUUCUGAUUUCCUUCCUUUUUUGGAAUAUACAAUUUCCCUUGAUAUACUUAAAUUUUGUUUUUCCUUAUGCAUUUUUUAUUAAAUUACUUCAUUCUGUGAAGGAUCUCAUGGUUAUGUUGACUGAUAGUACAGAAAAUAUGAAAAUUAAUUUGGUUUCUAAUACUACCUUUAUUACAUUUACUCUAGCUAUAUUAACUGAAUCUCCAGUUAUUUAAUGGCUCCUUUAUUUCUGAAAAAAAUGUUUAAGAGCAAUAUUCAUAAAGGUCUUAUUGUAUCUUGAUGGCUAAUUAAUGCCCUAAUAUUUUAUGUAUUUUAUCAUUGCUGAAAUUAGUAUUCAUCAGUUUUGGGGGGUUUUGUUAGUGAUAUACAGAAAUGUUGGUAAUUUUUGUGAAUUUAUCUUAUAUCCUUCUAUUUUUUAGAAGCGAUUUAUUAUGCUAAUUUCUUUUUGUGAAAUCCUCAAUUUUACUGGGAAGUUUGUUAACACUUUCCCAGUAUAAGUAAAGGAAAAGUGUAUAGAUUCCAAUAAAUACUUUUCAUAAUAGUACAGAAAAAUCCUUCCAUUCCCAUGAGUUUAUAUAACCCAGAACUAGAACAAAAUGAAUAUAAUAGAUUAUUGUUUGAUAAACCUAAGAUCACAAAACACUGGAGAACAAAUUCAUUAUUCAAUAAAAGCUGUUGGGAAGGUUUUAUGAAAUAUCACAAUUACUUCCAAGUGGAUCAAUAAUCUAAGUCUUUUUGAAAUAAUAAAAGAUUAAAAGAUGAUGGAAUCUUACAUUGUGAAGAGGUGCGAAAUUCCUAGCUAUUCUGCAAGUAAAAGGAGACAAAAUAGAUUAAUUUUGUUAUAAAGAAAUAAAGAAUUGCCAUGGUCAGGAAUUCAUCACCAAAAGCUUUUGUACUGUAUCCAUUACAUAGAUAGGCUGGCCUUUGGAAAGCAGCUUGUCACUGGUGCAGUACUUGAAGUUCUUCCAGUGUAGUAGAACUUACCACUACACCAUGAUGAGGCAGAAGAGUACAUAACAAAACACAAUGUACCCAAUACAAAAAGAAAAGAAACAGGGUGGGGAGAAUGACUAAAAGUUUGCUAAAAACUUUUCUUAGAAAAAUUUGACUUCAAAAUCCUUAAGAAGAAAUUGAUACAACUUUACAAGAAAAUAUUCAUUUCCUGAUAAAUGAGUGGUCAAAAAAAAUAUUAAACAGAUAGUUCUCAAGAAAAGAAACACAAUAUUGUGCUUUAAGAAAUGAGAAGCAGGAUGAUUUCAGAAAAACCUGGACUUAACGAACUGAUACAGAGUG